AUGUCGUCGUCCGGCGGCGGCUCGGUUUCGAAAGCGAGCCGCCGCUCGGCUGCCGGUCCGCGCGCGGAAAAAUCGCGCGCGUGUUUCUCUUUCUUUGUCUAUCUCUCUCUGUCUCUUUGGGCGGCUUCGUCGUCGAGAAAGUGUGGACGAUGCGACACGCGUGGCGGGGAAACGACGAUUAUCCGGUGUCCGGUGUUGGAACGGUGGUAAAAUAAUAUCGUGACGAGCCAAUAAACAGCGCGGAUGUAUUUGUAUUUGGAAAUCGCGUUUUAAACGGCGAUCGAUGAGGUCCCGUGUUGGAAAAUUAAACGGGGAAUGGAUGAAACGGUUGAUGAGAAUCGAGCCAAUGCCAUUACCAACGUUUACAAAUUAAUUUAAUUCAAAAAUAUGGUUAAGAAAAGGGAGAACUAUAUUAAUCCACGCGAUUCAAUUUAUUUAUUAUUAUUUGGAAUGGGGGAAAUGACAUCAACUAAAAACUCAAUCGUCGAUCCAUCAACUGUCGUGAUUCAACGCCUGCCUCUGCCAACGUUCCUCCAUUUUACGACACUUUGACUACUGCUAUAUAACCCGUUUUAAUUAUUCAGACAAGUUAUAGACUCGUUCGUUACUGCCUUCCGUGGAUCGAGCACAUUACAAAUAACAAGCUCGUAAAAUCUCGUGAAGACGUGGAAUGCAGAUUCCUCCUCGGCGUGCAAUCACGGGGCCGUUGCAAAAUACCUUGAAUAACGAUCGGAUCAGGUCGCAAUUGGAUCGAUGGAGGGACAUAUGGCCUAGCUUCUAGUCACCGGCCUCAAGUUCGUCAAGGGUAGAUCCAUCCUUAAUUAACCUGAAAGAAUCGUGAAGAAUGCCGUGACUCACUUUGUCCGUGUCCUCGCGCUGUUGGGGAAUAGAGGCGAUGUUUUUCGUAGCGAUUUAAUUAAGUCGUCGAUUUCCUCGAGUCAUCGUCAGGGUUGAACGUGGGCCGAACAAAAGGACGACGCGUCGUCUUGGAACGCGGAAGGAUGUCGAAAGAUCGUGCGCUCGUAGGAGGGCUAUAUCUGUCGCCACGAUGCCAAAUAAAUACGUCUCAAAUUUCUUUUUCAUUUGUAAAUUCGAACGAUGGAUUUAAAUCUUAUUCGUUUCAUCAAUUUGACUUUUUUUAAGCUUCGAUUAUUUAUGAAUCUGAGGAGUUGAUCGAACUAGUUCUCGAAUAAAUAAAAUUUUAACCGUUAUUAGAAAACCGUG